UCCCGCUCCAGACAGAUGCAGGUUAAGAUCCUCCCUGUGAGACACAUCUGCUCCUGGCAGCACCAACAAUCUCCAGAAAAGAUGAUGGACAUCAAUGAAACUCUACAGGGACUUUAUUUUCUUUAUGGCAAAAUUAUCUAUGUGGGCAAAGAAACUGCCCUUGCCUCAAUUUCUGACAAUUACUGCCCAAACUGGAGCAACAGGAUGCAAAAAGGGCAAUUGCCAAAUUUUGCCAAGACAAGGUGCUGAUCUCCACAGCGAGCUCUAAUCAACUCCCUAGAUGCUAAGCUCCAUUCCAGAGUCUGCAUACAACUACUGCUAAGAGCCUCUGAGAUUAGCAGACUGCACACCAUCAAUAUGCCUGG